rnacentral:rRNA from 1 species
AACGAACGCUGGCGGCAGGCCUAACACAUGCAAGUCGAACGCUCUAGCAAUAGAGAGUGGCAGACGGGUGAGUAACGCGUGGGAACCUACCUAGUGGUACGGAAUAGCUCAGGGAAACUUGGGGUAAUACCGUAUGCGCCCGAAAGGGGAAAGAUUUAUCGCCAUUAGAUGGGCCCGCGUAGGAUUAGCUAGUUGGUGAGGUAAUGGCUCACCAAGGCAACGAUCCUUAGCUGGUUUGAGAGAAUGACCAGCCACACUGGGACUGAGACACGGCCCAGACUCCUACGGGAGGCAGCAGUGGGGAAUCUUGGACAAUGGGCGCAAGCCUGAUCCAGCCAUGCCGCGUGAGUGACGAAGGCCUUAGGGUUGUAAAGCUCUUUUGGCGGGGACGAUAAUGACGGUACCCGCAGAAUAAGCCCCGGCUAACUUCGUGCCAGCAGCCGCGGU